rnacentral:rRNA from 1 species
AGAACGAACGCUGGCGGCAGGCCUCAAACAUGCAAGUCUAGGGGGUGCAGCAAUGCAUCACCGGCGGACGGGUGCGUAACACGUGGGAAUAUACCUUUCGGUACGGAACAACUGCGGGAAACUGCAGCUAAUACCGUAUACGUCCUUGCGGAGAAAGAUUUAUCGCCGAAGGAUUAGCCCGCGUUCGAUUAGCUAGUUGGUGAGGUAAUGGCUCACCAAGGCAACGAUCGAUAGCUGUUCUGAGAGGAAGAUCAGCCACACUGGGACUGAGACACGGCCCAGACUCCUACGGGAGGCAGCAGUUGGGAAUCUUGGACAAUGGGGGAAACCCUGAUCCAGCCAUGCCGCGUGAGUGAUGAAGGCCUUCGGGUUGUAAAGCUCUUUUACCCGGGAAGAUAAUGACUGUACCGGAGAUAAGCUCCGGCUAACUUCGUGCCAGCAGCCGC